rnacentral:rRNA from 1 species
CCUACGGGUGGCAGCAGUGGGGGAUAUUGCACAAUGGGGGAAACCCUGAUGCAGCGACGCCGCGUGAGUGAAGAAGUAUUUCGGUAUGUAAAGCUCUAUCAGCAGGGAAGAAAAUGACAGUACCUGACUAAGAAGCCCCGGCUAACUACGUGCCAGCAGCCGCGGUAAUACGUAGGGGGCAAGCGUUAUCCGGAUUUACUGGGUGUAAAGGGAGCGUAGACGGUUAUGUAAGUCUGGAGUGAAAGCCCGGGGCCCAACCCCGGGACUGCUUUGGAAACUGUGUAACUGGAGUACAGGAGGGGCAGGCGGAAUUCCUGGUGUAGCGGUGAAAUGCGUAGAUAUCAGGAGGAACACCGGCGGCGAAGGCGGCCUACUGGACUGCAACUGACACUGAGGCUCGAAAGUGUGGGUAUCAAACAGGAUUAGAUACCCGUGUAGUC